UACAGAGGUCUCAAGCGUUGUUCGGAUUCAUUGGGCGUAAAGGGCGCGUAGGCGGCGACUCAAGUCUGGGGUGAAAUCCUUCGGCUCAACCGGAGAAGUGCCUUGGAUACUGGGUCGCUCGAGGGGGAUAGGGGCACGCGGAACUUCCGGUGGAGCGGUGAAAUGCGUAGAUAUCGGUAGGAACACCAGUGGCGAAGGCGGUCUCCCUGGGGCAUU
rnacentral:rRNA from 1 species